CUCUGUAGUCUAACUUCAUUAGAUUACUUCUUCAAUCGAUUCAUUGUCCAUGGAUUCACUAUUUAUGACUUAUAUCGUUUAUAGAGAUAGUCCUAAUUAGUAUCUUUGCCAUUUGAUGUAUAAGGUUCAUCUAUACAUCCAUUCAUUGUCCUGAAAGGUUUCUUCCAAAGAUUGACUUUCAGGGCAUAUUUCCAACAAUCUCCCACUUGCACUAAAGUCAAUCAUUAGUGUAUCUUAUACAUGCUAGUUGAGUGAGCUUAUGCUCAUAGGUUAACUUGGAUAUGCAUUAAUCCCUUUUAUUUAAAAGGGAUUUACUUAUCAAAU
rnacentral:lncRNA from 1 species